rnacentral:RNase_P_RNA from 1 species
CGAGUUAGUUAGACAAUCGCUGGUUUAUUGAAGCCCUAAACUGUGUCGCACGGCUGUGCAAUACAAAAUAGUGGGACAAGUAAACGAGAGGAAAGUCCGAGCUACACAGGGCAGAGUGCCAGAUAACGUCUGGGCGGCGCGAGCCGACGACCAGUGCAACAGAGAGCAGACCGCCAUACUCUGUGUAUAUUUUUAGAGAUGGUAAGGGUGAAAGGGUGCGGUAAGAGCGCACCGCGUGGGUGGCAACACUUCACGGCAGGGUAAACUCCACUCGUAGCAAGACCAAAUAGGAACUCAAUGGAUGGCCCGUCCAGAGUUCGGGUAGGUUGCUUGAGCAUAACAGCGAUGUUAUGCCUAGAGGAAUGAUUGUCCACGACAGAACUCGGCUUAUCGACCAACUCAUUUU